UACAAGAGUGUAUUAUACUUAUGCAUUACAAUAAAUAAAUACAAAUAUUCUUAGGUGCAACAGCAUAUCAUUUAUAUCAAUUUAACUAUAGAAAACACAAGUAUGGAGAAUAUUACACCAUAGCAUUUGCAUAAAUUCGACCAAAGAAAAAGAUCUUUUGAAUAAUAUUACAUUUUUCAAUCUAUCAAUGUAAACUACAACUAUUGGGAAGUAAAAUCUUCAAAUUUUAUUUGCUUCCUGUUCCAACCGAAGUAUUCAGCUGCAAGUCAAUUAUCCUUGUUUCAAAUCUGUAAAAGAAAAUUGGACCCUAUAGUUAUGUAAUUAAAUAUACACAAAUAUGAUCUCGGAAUAUGGAAGAAAAGACUUCAACUUACAAAAGUUGAAGGCCAAGCAAUUAGGUAUCCUGAAGAGAAAGCUUCACCAAUUGUCCUGCAACCAGAAACUUCCCUUACUAACUCCUCAUUAUCAAGAAUAGGUUCAUCUAUGCGCACAUGGAAAAAUUUAGAAACUAACUCAAUACCACCAGCCUUAGUAGCUGGAUCAAUAGUCAGAAAAGCACCAUACAACGUUUUGCUUGUUGGGAUAUGAUGAAGUCUUUAAAACUACUUUAAAAGCUAUGAUCAUUAUUAGCAUUCAACAGCAAUAAUAAUAUAAUUUGCAUGAACAAUAUGAUCUCUAUUUUAAUGGCAUCCUAAAAUACAUGCCCCAUAAAAACUAAAUAAACUGGACUAGCCAUCAAAGUCUAAUGCCCAAGGACACCUCACUUGCUCACGCUUGGUUGAAGUUAUCCUUUACUUGUCGAUUUGUAACAGAAGUCAUUUUUCAAGGAGGCAUGUUAGAUUGGUUUGAGUCGGGAAUUUGAGUACAGUAAACCCAUGCCCCUUGGCGGAUCUUUACCUUGAUUGAAGAAGUACGCCUUUUUUUAGCGAACUGGAUGUGGGCGUUCAGUUCUAGUCCCCUGCUUGUCUAGUCUUGAAAAAUAUUCAACUGCGCGAUCCCUCAUUUCCCUUGCCUACAAAGAGAAAAAUAGUAGAUGGAAUGAUAUUCAUAUCCUAGAGCUACAGAAAGCUGCAACUUCAAAACUCAAAAACACACAAACCUUACCUUUUGCACAUAAUCAAUAACAAGGUCUUGUGGCGACGAUGACUUUUUGUUGAAUUUGUAACUGACCGACAUCAUCAUGCUCGCCAUCCUGGUUCCAUGACACAACAAUGGUAAGCAAUUAAUAUUUUUAUAUUCUAUCUUUGUGACAUGAGUGAGAGUAAGUCUAGACAUAACUUUUUGGCAUGAAUGCGACAGAUUAUUAGCCUCAGAAAUUUCAUGUUUCAUAGACAAGCGUGCCUCAACAGGUCCAUUGCAUUGGAUUCUCUACAAACUGAAAUAUUAAUACGAAGGUUUCAUGUUGAAAGCAAUGAUAUAGCCAUAUUGACAUUACCUUUGUUUUACCAUGUAGUAUUUGUAACCGAGAAAUGCCAGUAUGAUUUGAUUGGAGAUUUUCCUACAGAACUAACAAGUAUGAGUAAAAUAUUGAAAUAAAUGCAUACAAAAGGAAGGGACAAAGAAGUCAUUUACAUCUUCUACUCCAUUAUUCCCUUUGGCAUGUUCCAAACAAUUGGCAAGCUUGUUCCAAAAGGCUAGCUUUCUUCAUUGCAUUUUACAACUAUUCUUUGCCCCUUUGGCAUGUUCCAAAAAAAAUUGACAAGCUUCUUCUCCUGUGCUUGCAUA
rnacentral:lncRNA from 1 species